AAUGAACGUUGGCGGCGUGGAUUAGGCAUGCAAGUCGAGGGAGAACCCGCAAGGGGGACACCGGCGAACGGGGUAGGACCAUCUCGGUAACGUACCCUCCGGACGGGGAUAGCCACGGGAAACUGUGGGUAAUACCCGAUGACCUGGCAGGCGUUUAGGGCUUGUCAGCAAAGGUGAGAUUCCACCGGAGGAGCGGCUGAGACGCUAUUAGCUUGUUGGUGAGGUAACGGCUCACCAAGGCGACGAUGGCUAGGGGGUGUGAGAGCAUGGCCCCCACCACUGGCACUGAGAUACUGGCCAGACACCUACGGGUGGCUGCAGUCGAGAAUCUUCGGCAAUGGGCGCAAGCCUGACCGAGCGACGCCGCGUGCGGGAUGAAGGUCUUCGGAUUGUAAACCGCUGUCGGAGGGGAUGAAGUGUAUGGGAGCUAUCUCCUGUAUUUGACAGAGCCUCGGAGGAAGCACGGGCUAAGUUCGUGC
rnacentral:rRNA from 1 species